AUGUGCAUAGUCCCAUCCAUCAUCCCCUCACUAUUAUAUAUCCCUGAAUGGCAUCACAAAUCAGGGCUAGCUGAAGGAGUCGGAAGGGACGGAUUCUAUUGUCGGAUGAGCACUCAGCCAACUUCAUUGACAAGUCAAGAGGAGGCGGCAAAGACAUCAAAAGAAGGAACAGAACAUUGCGACCUGUUCCUUAUUCGCCUGUCAACGGCCGCUCUCGCUACUCGCGCCGUUAGAAUUAUCAACGGUAAACUCAGUCAUUUUUUUUUCAAUUUUUUAAAGAUAAUUUAUACUCAGUUUUUUCUUGUUUCAAUGUUAUUUUGUCCAUAAAAUAAGUAAAUAGUAUGGAAGCCUUUUUUGAAAUCUUAGUUUAAGAUGUUACCUUCGGUAUUGACUUUAACGAGUUUUGUUUUUCUUUUGCUUUUUUUCUUCCUUACUACCAUAUUUUUAAUUUAUUUAGUAAUCUUGUUAAGAAAAGUGUACGCCUAUUCAUAACAUUCUUGUCAGAUUUUGCCAUGUUGAUUUAAAGAUUGACUCUGAAACAGUUUCUUGCCCUUUGAAAUGUUAUAAAUUCUGAAGUAUUCGAGUCAACAUUUUUGGAACAGAUAGGCAUUUCAGACUCAUGACAGAAAGAUAAGGAUCAUGUCGACUAAUCUGAAAAACACCCAAACUUAUGUAUUUUGUAAGGGAGGAGUUCAUUGAGUCUCGUAAAAGUUUUUCUUUGUCCUCAUCUAGUUUCCAUUAUUUUGUAUUUAUUUAAGGAAAACACUUUUAAGAAUGUUUUAGUUACAGGAAAAUUUAUUAUUGUCAGAAGAAAAUUCCUUUUUUUUAAAUUUGUAUGAUUAUUGGUGGUAGUACUAGUUCUGUAUUCUAUAUUUUCAACACAGCAAAUUGAUGUAUUAUGCAGUUUGAAAAACCCGUGAUAUGAGGUUUUCUCAGUAGUUGCCAUUAUCUGAGGUCAUAUUAAACUCGGUGCCUUCUUUGAAAAAUCUUGCGAUCUUCUUUUUCGUUUCUUUUUUUUAUUUCGUUUAAUUUUUUAUCAAGAAUUUUUCUGGAAUCUCAUCACAAUUGAAUUGCAUCUUGCUAAAAUGACUGCAGGUCAAAAGUCAUAAUAAUUGCAUCCGUAAGAAUGGAAACACUAACUCGAAUUUUUUUUCUUUUUCGAUUUUCUUAUUCUCUCCGUUUAGUAUUACUUUUGAGUAAAUGCAUCUACACGCAACAGGAAAUUUCAAAAUUGCAAUUAGAAACUGUCAAAACAACGGCACCAAAAAACCUUUUGCUAUCCUAACUUCUUUACUCACUAUGCAGUUUUUUGUGUCUCCUAAACAUUUACAUAUUUCCGAGUCAGUGUGUUGUCAUUCUUACCAACUCAAUUGUUGGAACAGGACAUGAAUUUUGUAGAAUAAUUUAUUUGAGUUCGUUUUACAGUGGUGUAGAGAGUUCAACUCCAACCAUGAGAGAGACUCCAGUCUCAGAUCUACUUUGUUUCCCCCACACAUUUAGAACAGCUCAAUGAAAUUUUCACAGUAUUGAACCAAAAAAUAGUAAGAUGAUUUAUGAUGGUCAUUUUAACGUAGUCUAAUUUAAUCGACCAGAAGAUAGCAAACAUAACUAAGCAUCACAAUAUACUGAAACUGCGGUUCGUGUCUACAAAAAUUCUAGCUUCUUACUCUCAAAAGAACCUGACUCUACUCUUAAUUCGACCUCUGAUUAAACCUCUGAUUUGACCCCUAAAGUCUUAUUUAUCCAGAUAGAUAAGAUCAUUUUUGGUGAUUUUUAAAUUAAAAUGCUUCAUUCACCCUCAUCCGAUGAGAAGUAAGUCGCCAUGAUUCUAACUUAGAGGCAUACUCAGGGGGCACAAGCUCAUAAGAAAAUCCGGGUGAAACGGUAAAACCAUUUCCAAGCAAUGGCAUCGAUAUUAAUCUCAAUGAACCGUAGUUGCGUUGAAAUAUACUAUUCAAAAGUAAAUGAAAGAGGAACAAAAAC
rnacentral:lncRNA from 1 species